UACGGAAGGGGCAAGCGUUGUUCGGAAUCAUUGGGCGUAAAGGGCGUGUAGGUGGUUCUGUAUGUCUACCGUGAAAGCGUACGGCUCAACCGUAUUUAGUCGGUAGAAACUGCAGGACUUGAGGCUGGGAGGGGCUGGUGGAAUUCCCCGUGUAGCGGUGAAAUGCGUAGAGAUGGGGGAGAGCACUCGUGGCGAAGGCGGCCAGCUAGACCAGUUCUGACACUGAGGCGCGAUAGCGUGGGGAGCAAACAGG
rnacentral:rRNA from 1 species